rnacentral:rRNA from 1 species
CCUACGGGAGGCAGCAGUGAGGAAUAUUGGUCAAUGGGCGCGAGCCUGAACCAGCCAAGUCGCGUGAGGGAGGACGGCCCUACGGGUUGUAAACCUCUUUUGCCGGGGAGCAACGGGCGUCACGUGUGGCGCCACUGGGAGUACCCGGAGAAAAAGCAUCGGCUAACUCCGUGCCAGCAGCCGCGGUAAUACGGAGGAUGGGAGGGUUAUCCGGAUUUAUUGGGUUUAAAGGGGGCGUAGGGGGAACGUCAAGUCAGUGGUAAAAUUGAGGGGCUCAACCCCUUCCCGCCAUUGAAACUGGCGCUCUUGAGUGGAAGAGAAGUAUGCGGAAUGCGUGGUGUAGCGGUGAAAUGCAUAGAUAUCACGCAGAACCCCGAUUGCGAAGGCAGCAUGCCGGCUUCCGACUGACGCUGAAGCACGAAAGCGUGGGGAUCGAACAGGAUUAGAUACCCCAGUAGUC